rnacentral:rRNA from 1 species
ACGCUGGCGGCGUGCCUAAUACAUGCAAGUAGAACGCUGAAGAGAGGAGCUUGCUCUUCUUGGAUGAGUUGCGAACGGGUGAGUAACGCGUAGGUAACCUGCCUUGUAGCGGGGGAUAACUAUUGGAAACGAUAGCUAAUACCGCAUAACAAUGGAUGACACAUGUCAUUUAUUUGAAAGGGGCAAUUGCUCCACUACAAGAUGGACCUGCGUUGUAUUAGCUAGUAGGUGAGGUAACGGCUCACCUAGGCGACGAUACAUAGCCGACCUGAGAGGGUGAUCGGCCACACUGGGACUGAGACACGGCCCAGACUCCUACGGGAGGCAGCAGUAGGGAAUCUUCGGCAAUGGGGGCAACCCUGACCGAGCAACGCCGCGUGAGUGAAGAAGGUUUUCGGAUCGUAAAGCUCUGUUGUAAGUCAAGAACGAGUGUGAGAGUGGAAAGUUCACACUGUGACGGUAGCUUACCAGAAAGGGACGGCUAACUACGUGCCAGCAGCCGCGGUAAUACGUAGGUCCCGAGCGUUGUCCGGAUUUAUUGGGCGUAAAGCGAGCGCAGGCGGUUUGAUAAGUCUGAAGUUAAAGGCUGUGGCUCAACCAUAGUUCGCUUUGGAAACUGUCAAACUUGAGUGCAGAAGGGGAGAGUGGAAUUCCAUGUGUAGCGGUGAAAUGCGUAGAUAUAUGGAGGAACACCGGUGGCGAAAGCGGCUCUCUGGUCUGUAACUGACGCUGAGGCUCGAAAGCGUGGGGAGCGAACAGGAUUAGAUACCCUGGUAGUCCACGCCGUAAACGAUGAGUGCUAGGUGUUGGAUCCUUUCCGGGAUUCAGUGCCGCAGCUAACGCAUUAAGCACUCCGCCUGGGGAGUACGACCGCAAGGUUGAAACUCAAAGGAAUUGACG